AAGGUGAAUCUAUUAUUGUGAGUGAUGAUGGUUUUGGUGAAAUAUUAGGGAAAAAAGGUGAAACUGUAAUUGUGAGUGAUGAUGGUUUUGGUGAAAUAAUAUAUAGAUAAAGAGAGAUUUAUAUAAAGUGGAAUUUGACUUACUUCUCAUGAAUACGUUUGAGACCUCCAUGAGAGAUUUUGUCCCAAUAAGAUGGAUCAGCCUUACUCUUCUCAAAGAAUUCAACAAGAGUCUCAGCAGCUUGGUCACCAUGAUAAGGAUCAAUAUGGUAACCAGAUUUUCCAUGAACAAUGAUCUCAGCAGGACCACCAUUACACGUUGCGAAUGUCGGCAAUCCACAAGUCAUAGCUUCAACAACAGUCAAACCAAAAGCUUCAUAAAUAGCAGGCUGCACAAAAGCUCCCUUUGUGUCGCAAAUGACACGGUAAAGCUCUCCGUUCCGAAUUCGGUUCAUUUGUGAGGAAA